rnacentral:rRNA from 1 species
UUUAAUUGAAGAGUUUGAUCAUGGCUCAGAUUGAACGCUGGCGGCAGGCCUAACACAUGCAAGUCGAGCGGCAGCGACAUAAACAAACCUUCGGGGGCGUCUAUGGGCGGCGAGCGGCGGACGGGUGAGUAAUGCCUGGGAAAUUGCCCUGAUGUGGGGGAUAACCAUUGGAAACGAUGGCUAAUACCGCAUGAUAGCUUCGGCUCAAAGAGGGGGACCUUCG